UGGUAAUUUUCUCCUAGUAACAGAUAACAAAUGUGUGUAAUAGGUUAAGCUGCUAUUUUAGUGUGCAGAAGAGUUGGCAGUCAGAAAGCUAGUCAGUUCAGCUCAGAUCCACCUCUGGCAGAAUUCUAUUCAUGCUGCAUUAAACUACAUCUAAGCUGAUAUGUAGAUUUGUUUUCUGCAAAUGUGGUUCUUGACCUCUAAGCACAGAAGUUUUAUGCUUACUGUUAUAAGCACUUGCAACCUUUGCUUCGGUGGACAUAUGUGAAACUUUCUGGGCCUGAAAACAUCAUUUCAGAUGUUUUCUCUGACAUCUGAAUAUUGAUCUUUCCUCACCCAGCAAUAUUUCUGCAUCAUCACUGGUCUAAGUCCUCGUUGUGAGAGGAAACUCAAGACAUUUGGAGCCUAGAAGGGAGAAAUGGAAGAGAUGGCAUAGUGACCAGGUGAUGGAGUGCAGGAGUGCCAAUUAAGGAAGGCAUGAAGUCUGUCUUUAUACUCGUAUCAGGCUCUGCCCCAGAGACUAGUGCCAGUGAACUUGCUAAAAAACACAGCGAAGAGUCAAACACUGAGGAUUUCUGUCACAUUCUGGCAGUGAUUCUGAGGGGAUCUUGUGCAAAUAAACCUUGCUGUACUAUGUUUUAAAUCACAAACAAUGAAAAUAAAGAUAACAAUUAAAAUGCAUGUAUAUAUGUGUAAUUAUGGUUAAGAUAUCUCUGUUUACAAAGCAAAGCAAUUCAUCUAAUUAUACCCACAAGAACACAGUGCAACAGCCCAAACAAUUUAUAAAAAUAAUUUAUUUUGGCUUAUCUAUUCUGUUUCUAUUUAUAUCACCCUGCAUGAAAGUACUCAGCC